UGAUUAAGCCAUGCAAGUCGAGAGGGUUCGGCCCUCGGCGUACUGCUCAGUAACACGUGGAUAACCUGCCCUAAGGAAGGGGAUACCCCCGGGAAACUGGGUAUAAUACCCUAUAGAUUACAGAUGCUGGAAUGCCCUGUAAUCGAAAGUUCCGACGCCUUAGGAUGGAUCUGCGGCCGAUUAGGUUGUUGUCGGGGUAAUGGCCCAACAAGCCAGUGAUCGGUACGGGUUGUGGGAGCAAGAGCCCGGAGUUGGAUUCUGAGACACGAAUCCAGGCCCUACGGGGCGCAGCAGGCGCGAAAACUUUACAAUGCGGGCAACCGUGAUAAGGGAACCUCGAGUGCCUGUAUAUGCAGGCUGUCCAGGUGUCUAAAACACACCUGAAGAAAGGGCCGGGCAAGACCGGUGCCAGCCGCCGCGGUAAUACCGGCGGCUCGAGUGGUGGCCACUUUUAUUGGGCUUAAAGCGUUCGUAGCUGGGUCGUUAAGUCUCUUGGGAAAUCCGGCAGCUCAACUGUCGGGCGUCUAAGAGAUACUGGCGAUCUUGGAACCGGGAGAGGUGAGGGGUACUUCGGGGGUAGGAGUGAAAUCCUGUAAUCCUCGAGGGACCACCUGUGGCGAAGGCGCCUCACCAGAACGGCUUCGACAGUGAGGGACGAAAGCUGGGGGAGCAAACCGGAUUAGAUACCCGGGUAGUCCCAGCCGUAAACGAUGUGCGUUAGGUGUAUCAACGACCACGAGUCGUUGAGGUGCCGAAGGGAAACCGUGAAACGUACCGCCUGGGAAGUACGGUCGCAAGGCUGAAACUUAAAGGAAUUGGCGGGGGAGCA
rnacentral:rRNA from 1 species